rnacentral:tRNA from 2 species
GGAGAGGUAGCGAAGUCCGGCCGUAACGCGCUCGACUCGAAAUCGAGUUAGCUCAGAGAUGAGCUACGUGGGUUCGAAUCCCACCCUCUCCGCCA